AUGUGGCGGGAGACCCACCCACAACCCGGAGGGGCCCGGGGCAGGUCCCAUUCCAAGCCCAGUCCAGCAAUGGGGAAGCACAGACAGAGUGGUUGCCUGCCCAGGGCUCUGUCUACACCGCACAACCCAGGGCUGCUCUGUCUACACCCACAACUGCAGGUCACUCUGUCUACACCUACACUUUGGGCCACUGUCUACACCCACACUCUAGACCACUCUGCCUACACCCAACAACUCUGGGCCACUGUGUCUACACCCCACAACUCUAGACACUCUGUCUACACCUAUACGCUGGACCGCUCGGUCGACACCCCUCAACGCUGGGGCCUCGCUGCGGCACCCCGACACCCUGCGCUGAGCACGGGGCCUGGGACGGGAAGGCGCCUGGCACUGCACCGGAGUUGCUGCAGUUGCUUCCAGAGUUGGGGUCUCUGGAGACGGCCUCUGGCCAAACAAUGCGGCCGCCUGCGAGGUCGGACAGGAAACUCGCGAGCCCGGGCGGCUCGGCCCGGACGACGUCCGAGCGGACGCGGUGGGCACGGCGGGCCCGCGCCCUCGGCCGCCAGCGCCCGACCCCGGCGCCGGCCCUCGAUCCCGCCCAGGCCCGGGCUGGCCCCGCGGCCGCCCCACGGCCCGGCCUGGAGUUGGGCCCGGGAACAAAAGGCGGGCGAAGGUGGCCGGCGGCCCCGAGCGCGGGACCCCAGGAGCCGGCCGCCCCAGCACCCUCCGCUCCGCAGGGCGGGGCGGGCCGCGGAGGGCGCGAGCGCGCGCCCGGGGAAGAAAGAAAGUGGAGGCGGGGCGGCCAGCGCCCGGCCCGCAACCUACCGGCCGCUCGCCCUCCGGCCGCGAUCCGCUCCGCCCGCGCGCCCAACGGUCGCCGCCGUCGCCGGGGGCCGAGGGGCGGGGCCGAGAGGGGCGGGGCUCUUCGGGGGCGGGGCCGCCUGGUGGGCGGGGCGGAGCUGCAGGACCAGGCCGUGCAAGGGGCGGUACCUCCUGAGAGGACGGGGCGGCCGUGGCGAAGCC
rnacentral:lncRNA from 1 species